AAAUUGGAGUUUUCUUUUAAUGAAUAAACCGCUGUCUGUUACGGAGUAUUUUAUGUAGUUAGUGUUCGUUGUGUAAUUAUUCUCGGCUAACAAUAACUAACAAUAAAGCUCAUUAUUUUAGCGUUGCCAUUAUAUUCGUCUCAGCCGGGCUAUCAUCUUAAAAUACGUUACAUAUAUUUCCCGCCUUCGAGGCUUCUUUUUUUUGUUUAGUUUGUUGCCUUUUAACAUGAUGGUUUUUUUCGGAUUUAACAAAUCAAGAUGAGCACACAAAGCUCUUUUGUUGAACAUCGCAUACGCUGGAGAUGCUCGCGUUCUAAUAUAGGGUGUGUUUCUGUAAUGCCGUAGAAAUCUACAUAAAACUUGGCGGUUUGAGGAGGAAUCGGUUAAAGGUGUUGCGGCAACAUUCCACUAUUUUUCAAAAAUAAUUUGAAUAUUUUUGAUACAAAUGAGGUACCGUUAUCUAACACCAAGAGUUUGGGGCUGUCCACCGCUAUCAAACAUCACCGAUUUAUGAACAGAUUGGAAAAAUCUACAUGUAUUCUUUACCAACCAUGGUCGUCAGAUUACCAUGUAACUAAUUUAUGUUGUCUAACUCUGUGGACUGCUGUGGCGACCAACAGCGUUCGCGUUCGACGAUACCUAUAGCUGUUGCAUGUAAACAAUUUACUACCUCUGCCUAUUUAUCCCUAAAAUAACCAGUCAGAUUAGCCGGACAAUUCUGAUCUCUUGUUGAAAUAAGCGAAUUCCAUUGCAGUCGACGCUUCCUUAAGCAGUAAACACACUGUCGUCAUUUUCUCUGAAUUCUGUAAACUUCAAGAAGUCGGUCCUGUCCACGCGGAUUUCACAGCAAAUAAUAUUUAUGAAAACGCCCUGGCCAAAAAUGUGCAAAAGUUAAGCCAUUGCCUAUAACGUACAGUAAUGCGCUUCAGCAAACGAAACAACGCUAACAACAAGAAGCCCUUCCAUCUCGAUACGACACAUAUAUGGUUUGCAGUGAACGUACUGUCUUCACAUAUGAGCGUAUACGGGGUUUAGUAACGACAUCCAUCGACUCAUUCACACAAUAUCGCUACAAGCGCACCAACAAGUCCUGCUCAAAACAAAACUCUCUUCGUCCCUUCUGGGGUAUCACUCACGAAGACUCGCACGAAUAAAUAAAAAUACGUUAACUCCCAAGGGUGACCAUCCCUGCAAUAGAAACUCUGCCGUCUUAAACCAACAACUUCAUUAAGCUCACCUUAACAUAAACACCAUAACCUUUACAUUGUUUGCUACAGAUAUCUCCCAUUUGCUCAAUCUUCAAAGUAAAACAUCCACACUUAAGCGUAUAAGCUCAGAAAAGGAAGACAAAGAUUUGUAACGUCCGCGUACAAUUGUAGUGCAGUGGCUCCGUAGGUCUGCUUUAACCGCUACUCUAUCACAAUAGAGUAAGUAAGAUCGUAAUAACGGCAUGCCAUUAAGCAAAAUCGCAUUUGCAAGAAGAACGACUUGCCGUUAUGCAAAGAAAAUAAAAGGGAGAAAAGAAAGAAAAAAAACCCUCAUAAUUGUUAUAAUUGUCUCUCUUGCUAAAUAACUCUAUUAUGCAAGAGAGAACCUUGAAGAGAGGAAAAUUCCAGAGUCCGUCUGUGUAUUUUGAGCAUAUUAGUUGUUGUUUUCUUUUCGCCUUUAUAAGAAACUAUUGGAAAAAGAGGAUAGAAACAAUGAAGAACGUUUUUAGACGACGAAAUAGUGUUGUGCCAUCGGGAGUGUCUUUAUUGUGCUGUCUGGGGUGUAAAGCUUGUGCUGUGAAGAAUCUCACAAGUUGAUCUCAAUGUUUUUUUGAAGACAAUAUAAAAACGAAAAGAAAUAUUUUGCACGCAUCACUUACAUUUUAAAGAAAACAAAUUUGUAAAAACAAGACAGCCACAAUAUUAAACAAUAGAGAAAAUAAU